GGGCGGUCUUGCGGCUGGGAUUGGGGGAGACCGGCGAGAUCGGUUUCUUUUCUUAGGUUAGGGGUUGGAAGAAGGGUAGGGGACGCGAGCCUGCUUCCAUCUGACGCUGGACGCUUGUCCCUGCCCCGCGUUGCCUUUUAAAUUUUAGCUCAUUCCGUGACACCUGCCGUCAGACAUUUAUGCAGUGUGUGAUUCUUUCUAAAACAACUCCCUGGAAGAGAGGACAUUUAAUUCAACAAUUUAUUGGCCACCUACUGUGCGCCAGGCAAUGAACUUGGAACUGGGGCUACUGGGUUACAGCAGUGACCAAGACAGAGGUCCCUGUUCUUAAGGAGCAAGUGAGGGCAACAGAAAAGAGCAGUAGAGACAGGGUUUCACCGUGUUAGCCAGGAUGGUCUCGAUCUCCUGACCUCAUGAUCUGCCCUCCUCAGCCUCCCAAAGUGCUGGGAUUACAGGCGUGAGCCACUGCGCCCGGCCCUUCACAAAUUCUUUAAUGUUCCUUCCUUCAAAAGGAAGAGCCUAAUUCCUUCUCCCCUCCCCAGUUAAGUGUGAACUUGCCUCUAACUAAUAGAAUAUGGCAGAAGUGAUAGUUUGUGAUAUCUAAGAUUGGACAUAAAAGGCUCUAUGUUUUCCUCCUGGCUGUAUUAUUUUGUAUCAUUUAUUCUGGGAGAAGUCAGCUGUCAUGCGAGGGCACUCAAUCAGCCCUGUGGAAAGCUCUAUGUGGUGAGAAACUGAAGCCUCCUGCCAACACCAACAAGGAACUGAGACCUACUGCCAAUAGCCAUCUGAGUGAUCCAUCCUGGAAUGAGAUCCUCCAGCCCCAGUCAAGUCUUCAGAUGACUGCAGCCCUGGCCAGCAUCUCAACUGCAACCUCAUGAAUGACCCUGAGCCAGAACCAUGCAACUAAACUCUGCCUGGAUUCAUGACCCACAGAAACUGUGAGAUGGUAGCUGUUUGCUUUGUUAAGCCUCUAAGUCUGGAAAUAAUGUAUUAAGCAGUAGUAGACAAUGAACACAAGAUUAUUAUUCAGCUGUUGAAUUGGAAGGGGAGGGGAAGAAAAAGUUUUCAGAUCACAAAAUAUUCAUUGUGUAAAACCUCAAAAAUUCUGAAAUUUAAGGAAAAAAAAUCAUUUGUUGGGAAUUUGUUGGGGUUCAUUGUCCCAGUGCCAAAAGACACCCACUCUUUUUUUUUUUUUUUUUUUUUUUUGAGACAGAGUCCUGCUCUGUUGCCCAGGCUAAAGAACAGUGGCACAAUCUCAGCUCACCACAACCUCUGCCUCCCGGGUUCAAGUGAUUCUCCUCCCUCAGCCUCCCAAGUAGCUGGGACUACAGGCAUGCCUCACCAUGCCCAGCUAAUUUUUGUAUUUUUAGUAGAGACGGGGUUUCACUAUGUUGGCCAGGCUGAUCUCAAACUCUUGACCCCGUGAUCUGCCCGCCUCAGCCUCCCAAAAUGCCAGGAUUACAGGCAUGAGCCACCGCUCCCGGCCGAGACACUCACUCUUAACAUUUUGGUAUGUUUUUUCUUUCUGUGCAUUUUUUAUCCAGCUGACUUUAUUUUGUCUCCUGAAAUCUUCAUUUUGAAAUUAUAGCUUCAGCAUUUAAGAAAAUGUGUCUACAAAGUCUUUGCAAGCAUAGAUUUUUCCCACAGUUAGUGUACUUAGAAUUUAUUUGUCAAGCAAUUUUGAAGAGCUUUCACUGUGAAAAACUUAAUGUUAGGGCUUAUUGAUAUUCUCUUUAAGUAGAAGUAUGUUUUUUAUUAUUGCAAAAGUAAGAUAUAUAUAUAUAUAUAUAGUGUGUGUGUGUGUGUGUGUGUGUGUGUGGAGUCUCACUCUGUCACCAGGCUGGGGUGCAGUGGCGCGAUCUCAGCUCACUGCAACUUCCUCCUCCCAGGUUCAAGCGAUUCUCCUGCCUCAGCCUCCUGAGUAGCUGGAACUACAGGUGCGUGCCACCACGCCCAGCUAAUUUUUAUAUUUUUAGUACAGACGGAGUUUUGCCAUGUUGGUCAGGCUGGCCUCGAAUUCCUGACCUCAAGUGAUCCGCCUACCUCGGCCUCCCAAAGUUUUGGGAUUACAGGCAUGAGCCACCACGCCCGGCCUUGUACUGAAUUAUAUAAGGUGAAAAGUGAACGUCUCCUGUAAUCUAGAAAAAUGGCAUUAUAAUGAGUAAAUUUUAAAUUUUAAUGUAAUUUUCCAGAAUUUUUUUUUUUUUUUUUUUUUUGAGAUGGGACGGAGUCUCACUCUAUCACCCAGGCUGGAGUGCAGUGGCGCGAUCCUGGCUCACUGCAACCUCCGCCUCCCGCGUUCAAGCGAUUCUCCUGCCUCAGCCUCCCAAGUAGCUGGGAUUACAGCCGCCCACCACCGUGCCCGGCUAAUUUUUGUAUUUUUAGUAGAGACAGGGUUUCGCCAUAUUGGCCAGGCUGGUCUGGAACUCCUGACCUUGUGAUCUGCCCGCCUUGGCCUCCUAAAGUGCUGGGAUUACAAGUGUGAGCCACCGCGCCCGGCCUUUUUUUUUUCGACAGGGUCUCUCCCUGUCACUCAGGCUGGGGUGCAGUGGUGCGAUCACAGUUCACUGCAGCCUCAACCUCUUUGACUCAAGUGAUCUUCCCACCUCAGUGUCCCAGGUAGCUGGGACUACAGACGCGUGCCACCACACUGGGCUAAUUUUUUGUAUUUUUUAUAGAGACUGAGUUUCGCCAUGUUGCCCGAGCUGGUCUCGAAUUCCUGGGCUUAAGCAAUCUGCCCACCUUGGCCUCCCAAAGUGCUGGGAUUACAGACAUGAGCCACUUCACCUGGCUGUCCAGAAAUUUAAAUGCUUAUAAACACAGGCACACAUAGUUUUUUUACACAAGUGGAAUGUUACUAUAUGUAAUUUCUAGUAACCUGCUUUUUUCACAUCUCUUUCCUCUUUCCAUGUAGUGCGUAGGUUCUUGUCCAGGUCUGCCGAGUAUAUUGUAAUUCAUUUAAUCAGGUUUUUUUUUUUUUUUUUUUUUUUUUUGAGACAGAGUUUCACUCUUUUUGCCCGGGCUGGAGUGCAAUGGCGUGAUCUCGGAUCACUGCAACCUCUGCCUCCUGGGUUCAAAUGACUCUGCUGCCUCAGCCUCCCAAGUAGCUGGAAUUACAGGCAUGCAUCACCACACCUGGCUAAUUUUGUAUUCUUAUUAGACAUGGGGGUUUCACCAUGUUGGUCAGGCUGGUCUCGAACUCCUGACCUCAGGUGAUCUGCCCACCUCGGCCUCCCAAAGUGAAUCAGUUCCUUCUUGAAAGACAUUUUGAUUGUUUUACCCCUUUUUGCUAUUAUAAACAAUAUGGCAGUGAACACCUUUGUAUGUAUGUUUUUGGCCACUUGUCAUUUAUUUAUUUAUUUAUUUAUUUAGAGAUGGAGUCUUGCUCUGUCGCCAGGCUGGAGUGCAGUGGUGCGAUCUCGGCUCACUGCAAUCUCCACCUCCUGGGUUCAAACGAUUCUUUUU